UGGAUUAAAUAGUAAUUUUCCCUAUCUCAAAUUCUCCCCAAGAACCAUAAGUUUUAGACUUAUUCCACUUUUCAUCUAAGCAUCAAUUGUCCCUACCAUAUACAGAUGCGUUAUUCCCACCAUUCUAUCUUUUAGUACCCAAUAAACCUCAAAAUAUUUGAAACACUUCCUUACCCAAGCUCUAGGGUCAGUCCCAUCAAAAGUUACUAGUUCAAUCUUGGGCAAAAUCUUUUCUACCCCACUGAUUCCAUCACAAAAUUAAAAAUUGCUUGAUCCUUCACAUGAGGAUUCGAGGAUUCCUUUGAAGUUUGUAAAGAACACUUACUUGUCACUCGUUAGAAUUCUUGCAAUUUACAUUAAUCGUUCCUUCCCUUUGUCGUCAAAAAACCCUAGCAUUAGGGUUUUUGAUCUUCCCACAGUAGUCUUAAUUGAUUUCUCAACUGCUCUUUUGUUCUCAGCAGCAUCCUUCCUAAUUCCCUCCUGUAGUUUCUUGAAAUCAUUUCUCAGCAUUUCCAUCUCUUUCCUUGUUUUUCGAGAUUUGCCUUGCAAGAAAUCCAACUUUCUUCCAAUUCUACCAUUUAGACAUCAUCUUGACUCAUAACCACUAAUUUGGUAAUGGAUUGUGAGCCAAAAGAACCAAAUUGCAAGUUAAGCCCACGCAGUUCUCAAGCUUUGAUACCAAACGUUAGGUAGAAACCCUGAUAACAAUUAUUUAGAGUAGAAACAGGCAGAAAAUUAAUGGACU
rnacentral:misc_RNA from 1 species